rnacentral:rRNA from 1 species
UACGGGGGGGGCAAGCGUUGUUCGGAAUUACUGGGCGUAAAGGGCCAGUAGGCGGCCAACUAAGUCGGAUGUGAAAUCCCCAGGCUUAACCUGGGAACUGCAUCCGAUACUGGAUGGCUUGAAUUCGGGAGAGGGAUGCAGAAUUCCAGGUGUAGCGGUGAAAUGCGUAGAUAUCUGGAGGAACACCGGUGGCGAAGGCGGCAUCCUGGACCAACACUGACACUGAGGAGCGAAAGCCAGGGGAGCAAACGGG